UGAGGAAUAUUGGUCAAUGGGUGCAAGCCUGAACCAGCCAUCCCGCGUGAAGGACGACUGCCCUAUGGGUUGUAAACUUCUUUUGUAUAGGGAUAAACCUACCCUCGUGAGGGUAGCUGAAGGUACUAUACGAAUAAGCACCGGCUAACUCCGUGCCAGCAGCCGCGGUAAUACGGAAGGUGCAAGCGUUAUCCGGAUUUAUUGGGUUUAAAGGGUCCGUAGGCGGACUUAUAAGUCAGUGGUGAAAGCCUGUCGCUUAACGAUAGAACUGCCAUUGAUACUGUAAGUCUUGAGUAUAUUUGAGGUAGCUGGAAUAAGUAGUGUAGCGGUGAAAUGCAUAGAUAUUACUUAGAACACCAAUUGCGAAGGCAGGUUACCAAGAUAUAACUGACGCUGAGGGACGAAAGCGUGGGGAGCGAACAGGAUUAGAUACCCUGGUAGUCCACGCCGUAAACGAUGCUAACUCGUUUUUGGGCUUUAGGGUUCAGAGACCAAGCGAAAGUGAUAAGUUAGCCACCUGGGGAGUACGCUCGCAAGAGUGAAACUCAAAUGAAUUGACGGGGUCAU
rnacentral:rRNA from 1 species